AUUGAACGCUGGCGGCAGGCCUAACACAUGCAAGUCGAGCGAGCGGCGGACGGGUGAGUAAUGUCUGGGAAACUGCCUGAUGGAGGGGGAUAACUACUGGAAACGGUAGCUAAUACCGCAUACCAUCAGAUGUGCCCAAAUGGGCUUAGCUAGUAGGUGGGGUAACGGCGCACCUAGGCGACGAUCCCUAGCUGGUCUGAGAGGAUGCCCAGCCACAGUGGAACUGAGCCACGGUCCAGACGCCUCCGGGAGGCAGCAGUGGGGAAUAUUGCACAAUGGGCGCAAGCCUGAUGCAGCCAUGCCGCGUGUGUGAAGAAGGCCUUCGGGUUGGAAAGCACUUUCAGCGGGGAGGCGUUACCCGCAGAAGAAGCACCGGCUAACUCCGUGCCAGCAGCCGCGGUAAUAC
rnacentral:rRNA from 1 species